rnacentral:rRNA from 1 species
AGCGGCGGACGGGUGAGUAACACGUGGGCAACCUGCCUGUAAGACUGGGAUAACUCCGGGAAACCGGAGCUAAUACCGGAUAACUUUUCGAACCGCAUGGUUCGGAGAUAAAAGACGGUUAUGCUGUCACUUACAGAUGGGCCCGCGGCGCAUUAGCUAGUUGGUGAGGUAAUGGCUCACCAAGGCGACGAUGCGUAGCCGACCUGAGAGGGUGAUCGGCCACACUGGGACUGAGACACGGCCCAGACUCCUACGGGAGGCAGCAGUAGGGAAUCUUCCGCAAUGGACGAAAGUCUGACGGAGCAACGCCGCGUGAGUGAUGAAGGUUUUCGGAUCGUAAAGCUCUGUUGUUAGGGAAGAACAAGUGCGGGAGUCACUGCCCGCGCCUUGACGGUACCUAACCAGAAAGCCACGGCUAACUACGUGCCAGCAGCCGCGGUAAUACGUAGGUGGCAAGCGUUGUCCGGAAUUAUUGGGCGUAAAGCGCGCGCAGGCGGUCUUUUAAGUCUGAUGUGAAAGCCCCCGGCUCAACCGGGGAGGGUCAUUGGAAACUGGAGGACUUGAGUACAGAAGAGGAGAGUGGAAUUCCACGUGUAGCGGUGAAAUGCGUAGAGAUGUGGAGGAACACCAGUGGCGAAGGCGACUCUCUGGUCUGUAACUGACGCUGAGGCGCGAAAGCGUGGGGAGCGAACAGGAUUAGAUACCCUGGUAGUCCACGCCGUAAACGAUGAGUGCUAAGUGUUAGAGGGUUU